GCUCGUAGUCGGAUUUCGGGGCGGGCCGAGCGGUCUGCCGAUGGGUAUGCACUGUUCGGCGCGUCCUUCUUUCCGGAGACCGCGCCUACUCUUAGCUGAGCGGGCGCGGGAGACGGAUCGUUUACUUUGAAAAAAUCAGAGUGUUUCAAGCAGGCAGCUCGCUCUUGCAUGGAUUAGCAUGGGAUAAUGAAAUAGGACUCUGGUGCUAUUUUGUUGGUUUCGAACACCGGAGUAAUGAUUAACAGGGACAGUCAGGGGCACUCGUAUUCCGUCGAGAGAGGUGAAAUUCUCAGACCAAUGGAAGACGAACCACUGCGAAAGCAUUUGCCAGGGAUGUUUUCACUGAUCAAGAACGAAAGUUAGGGGAUCGAAGACGAUCAGAUACCGUCGUAGUCUUAACCAUAAACCAUGCCGACUAGGGAUUGGAGGGUGUUCUAUUUGACCUCUUCAGCACCUUACGGGAAACUAAAGUCUUUGGGUUCCGGGGGGAGUAUGGUCGCAAGGCUGAAACUUAAAGGAAUUGACGGAAGGGCACCACCAGGAGUGGAGCCUGCGGCUUAAUUUGACUCAACACGGGGAAACUUACCAGGUCCAGACAUUGUUAGGAUUGACAGAUUGAGAGCUCUUUCUUGAUUCGAUGGGUGGUGGUGCAUGGCCGUUCUUAGUUGGUGGAGUGAUUUGUCUGGUUAAUUCCGUUAACGAACGAGACCUUAACCUGCUAAAUAGUGGCGCGAACUUUUUGUUGGCGGCUCACUUCUUAGAGGGACAACUUGUUUGCAACAAGUGGAAGUUUUGAGGCAAUAACAGGUUCUGUGAUGCCCU
rnacentral:rRNA from 1 species